CUGAGCACUGAAAAAAUAAAAAGAAAUAACUAUGAGGAGAAAUAACCGGGCACCUGAACGUUGCCUUUUUCAAAAGGUGAUCUCUAUUCUCUACCUAAUUUUUAACUUUUAAGAAAUUUCAAUCAUGUCAGGUGUAUUUGAAUUGAAGUGGGGGGAAUGUUGAAUUUUUCAUGCUGUUAAAUUCUUUCAGAACAGUGACUGAGAGUAGUUGAGGCAAAUGAGAUCCUAAGGACCGAGGCAGUUUCAGAGGUGAUCGCAAAUCUAAGAACUGCUAAACUAAGUUGGACUGACAGAAAAUGGCAGAUUACUCUUCAGAAGUCCUGAGCAUAUCAAUUACAGAAUCCUGGCUAAGGUGAAUGAAUUAACACCUGAAAUCACAGCAAAUGCUCAGCUCUGUUGACCUGUGAUGUGGAACUGGAAGACCUGUGGGGCUAUCCAAACCUUCAUCCUCAGUUCUGUGACACCAGCAUCCUGCAAUCUGCUCCAUUACUUCCAAAACUACUGCUAGGUGACACAAGCCUCCUUUCCCACAAGCCUUCCCACUAGGACACAGCCUCUGGAAGAACUUUUGACAUUAAAAGGAGCGUGAGGCUGUCUUCACACCAUUAAAAUAAAUAAAAAAAGUAUUCUUAGCAACCAAGCAUCAGCACAAUUGGCAUGAAUAAGGUAUAUAGUUCCUCCAGCAUAUGUUAUUAAGUUAGGCCAAAGAGAGACAGUCAAGUAUGAAGAUAGUGGAACAUUAGGAAGUUUACUAAGUAUUUCCAGCUCUUUCAGGAUUGACAAGUGUAAUCAAAUAAAAAAAGUAAAAUAAACCCAGAAACUUUCAGGACAGGCCUUAUGCAAUAUCCAAGAGAUUACAAUAAACACAUCUUGAUUACAAAUUGCUUCAUCCAUAUUUGGAUUGAUAUGGAAUAAAUGAAUACUUCCUUACAUAUGCAGAGCAGAGUACAAAGAGCUAUCACUCUUAACAGUGACAUAUAUAAAACAGUUUACUGUUGUCAAAUUCAGAAAAAAAUGUUUCCUCAAGAAAUGGAAGACAUAGAAGAAGCCAAUUCAGAUGAAAUAAGGAACAGAAUGUGAGAAACAUACAUCUAGGUUUGGACAUUGUGCUUGAAUCACAGACAUCACUUGCUAAACUGUAUCCCUGGAUACAGCAGGAUUCAGAACAGACAGUUCCUACAUGCUGUAGGAAUCGCUCUCAUAUGUAUAGUGUCUUUUAAUAAAAGACUGUUGUUUAAGAAAAAGAAGCCACAGCCUAAUUACUUUUUCCCCCAGAAGACCAUAGGGAGGAAAAAGCAUACCCUCUUUAUUGCAAGAUUAUAUCCAAGAACAAAUAUCAACACUACUUGUAAGUUUUAUGCCUGAAUUACAGUGGAUCGUGACUAAACACCACAGAAUACGAAGACUGCAUCAUUCUAUCCCAAGAUAAAGGUGCCUUACCUGAAGGAAAUGGGAUUUCUAUCCUCCAAACCUUUAACAACAACUCCUGUAGCUCCACCAGAUCGAACAGCAAAAACCUAGAAAAUGUUUUGAACAGAUAUUUAACUCUUUCAAAGUCAUAACUUUCACCUGCUUCCUCUUCUAAAAGCCACAUCUUUGAAUCUUCUUACUAGACACGUUUUUGUUCUGUGGAUCUGCCAGUUCACACUGAAAUAAUCUGGACUUUCAAGUUUUCUUAGAGUUGUCAGAUGCAUGGUACUGCAACAGUCUUGUAGGCAUAUUCUGAACUACUGAGCAAGUUAAAUCAGUAAAAAUCUUUAUAAGCCUUUA